AGGACCCCAUUUUCAGGGGUUGCUCCGUUCUCUGGCCAGUCGCGCUGUGUCCUCUGCAGCAGAAGGUUAGAUCCAGAGGGAUGACUCCAGGCGACGAGUUGCUUGCCUUCCUCUCAUGUUUCUCAUUUUUUCUCUCUCUCUCUCUCUCCUGUGUUGGCCAACACUCUUUCUUAGUCUGUCCUUUCCUUGUGCCGUCUCUCUUCUUAGGACACAGGCAGGCCUGCAAGGUGUGCAUCCCCACAGGUUAGGUCUUGGGAGCCCUGGAGUAGUAGGAGGGGACCAAAACCAUGUGAGGAAGUAGAGCAGUGAUUGUCAGUGUUUAACUCAGUCGUCUUUCGCGUGGGGCCAAUGUAGAUGAGAUGGAAGAGGGAGGCAGGGAUGAGGGCAAGAUUUCAAGCACCAAUAGAGCUUUGUGUAGUGAUGGUUUCUACUUGGGUGUUGCAGCUUCUGUUGCAGAGGAAUCAUUCGGGAGCCCUGGCCCAAGGAGAAACUGCUGGACGUGGAUCUGAGCAGCCUGGACAUCCUUCUAAAGAGACGUGAACAGUCUUUAGCUUUCUGCCUCCCACAUAACUGGCUGUGAGUAAGAGGUCAGUGCUUUGAAUUCCUCAUCUGUACUCACUGUAAUUUUCUUCACAGGCCGUGUGCUUCCUCAUUGAAAACGGUGCUCUGUGGGAUUCAGAUGAGGGAAAGGCACAAGUCUCCUGUGCAGAUACCAAAGGAAAAGGAGUGGAGGGUCAGAAUCCGCUCCCGUCCUGCGAUGGAAGGCAAGUGAGAGCUGGGAGACUGCAAGCAUUGUUUAUGCCAGUCAAGAGCCAUCCAGCUGGGAGUGGAGCAACUGUCACCAUCAGUGAGAUAAGUGUCUCAUUAAGUGAGGGCUCUGCUCACUGCCCACUUGGCUCCAGCUGCACUGGCAGAGGAAUUGUCCUGGAGCCCUACCUGGAGGAGAGAGACUCAGAAGUGGACCUGAUCAGCCUGAACAUCCUUCUUAGCAGACAUGAACAGUUCUCAGUUUUCUCCCUCCCGCAUACUUGACUGUGAGUAAGAGGUCAGUGCUUUUAAUUCAUCAUCUAUAGUCUCUGUAUUAUUCUUCACAUGCUGUGUCCUUACUCGUUGGGUAUGGGUCUUUGUGGGAUUAAGGCUGGGGAAGGGACCAGAGUCACAGUAGCCAACUUCCCCUGGGUAAAUGAGG